AAUGAGUGUCUUGCAGAGGAGAUUAAACUAGCUGAUGGAGAGGAACAAGAACUGAGGACUUUACUUGAUUACAAAGAAGGAUCAAUACUUGAACAAGAUAAACAACUGAAUAUCAUUAAA